rnacentral:rRNA from 1 species
UACGAAGGGGGCUAGCGUUGCUCGGAAUCACUGGGCGUAAAGGGUGCGUAGGCGGGUCUUCAAGUCAGGGGUGAAAUCCGGCAGCUCAACUGUCGAAGUGCCCUUGAUACUGAUGAGCUCGAGGGAGGUAGGGGUCUGUGGAACUUCCGGUGGAGCGGUGAAAUGCGUUGAUAUCGGAAGGAACGCCGGUGGCGAAGGCGGGUCUCUGGGCCGUAACUGACGCUGAGGAGCGAAAGCAUGGGGAGCGAACAGG